GUUGCACACAAAUAUUCUGUAAGACAAUGUGUCUUUCUCCUUUCUUAAAAAAAAACAAAACUUCAGUUUCUAUUUUAUUCAGCACAAUCCCAUUCCCUUGAAGCUACUUAUACUGUAAAAUAAACCAUCUCCAGAUGAGAAAAAUACCGCUGGGACAAUGCUGCCUAAUCGCGUCUUCCAGGAGCGUCCUCCAAAUGCUACUGAAUCAACCCGGCCUCUCUCACCCACGGAAAUCCCCACACUCAGAGCCCUCUGCUGAGUCGGCGUCAGGUGUGAGGAUGGUCACCAAGCCGGGAGGAAGAUUUGCCUUCCAGGAGGAUGAACCUCAGAAGCUGCGGGGCAGCAGGGUGCGGCUGGGAGCCCUCGGGUGUUUGAUUUUGCUGUUUCCAGGGAAAGAUGCCGCACAGUGAGUGAGCGCUGUUCCUGGUAGGUGCUGAGUGUCUCCUUUCCUCUGAUCCUCGCACCCUUACUUCCUGCCCCACCUGGCCCUGCUGACUUCCAGUCCUGCCUCCAGCUGCCGUCCUGCCCUCUCCUCCUCCUGCUUUUCCUCCGGACUCUGCCAAAGUGAGUGAGUUCUCCAACCAGCUUGCAUCAGGGUAUCGCCCUUCCUGCUACCUUCUCACGGGGCGGAGCCCAGACUCCCUGCCCCACGCGUCCUCCUCCCACCUCAAGCCUUCCUGGUUGCCUGUGACGCGGGUCCAGCCCACUGUGUCUCCCAGGCUCGCUCCGCAGAUGCAGGCCGACUCCCCUCCUGAGUCACUGGCGCGGCAGUGGUAGUUACCCUACCUCCCGGAAUAGACCGCACAGCCCUACCCUUGCCAGCUAAUUAUCUGCAGGAGAAAUGAGCAGAGGGCAGCAAUCACUCAUUAUUUCUGCAUUCCCCGGCCUAGCGCGAGAGCUUAAUAUUUGGGUUAAUGAAUGUUCAUUACUGGAAUUAAAUAACUUAAUGAUCAGUGCUUUCUUAAAAGGCUUUUUCUUUGCUUCUUUGCAGUAUCAGAAUCAAACCUGGAGGACUCCACUCCUGAACUACAUCUCCAUACCAUGCUAACACUGCUACUAACCCUUUUUUAAAAGUUUGAGAUACAGCCUCAUUCUAUUGCCCAGGCUAGCUUCAAACUUAGGACCCUCCUGCCUCAGCCUCCUGAGUAGUAUUAUAGGAAUGUACCACCAGGCCUGGCCAGAGUAUUAAAAAAAGAAAAAAAUGACCUGCACAGCUCUACCAGCAGUGCUGGGAAACUGCUGGGAAAGGCUGGGAGGGGCCUGGGCCUCGAUCCCCGGACCCAGUCUCUCCAUGACUCCGGUUGCAAACCGAGCUGGACAAGAACUGGAUCAAAUGUCCCUUUAUGCUCGAAUUGAACCUAACCAUUGGAUUUGAUUUGGUUCUCACUCAAGAAUUGUGGAAGAAUCGAGUUCGUGUACUGUGUUCGUGGCCCAUUGGAUUUCAUAGCAAGCCAGGAUACCACGGCCUUUGAUUUCAGAAUUCUAAAC
rnacentral:lncRNA from 1 species